GAAGCUCGGGAGGAAUCAUGAAAUGUAGGAUGCUGGGAGGAAAUUGGAUAUGGGGAACGGCUUGGUUCUGGCUAGGACACGGAGCAGGGGAGGACAUGGAAGCUUGAUCUCUAAGCACUAAAAAAGGUGACGUGGACAUGGGUUCAUCUGCAAACGCGACCUGCACACAUUAGUUCAGACAUCAUCCCAAUUAGUUCGACUUGACCUGCACAUAUUAGACUCGACCAAUAAAAUCUGGCAAACUCGAAUUAUUUUUAAUAAUUUAUUAAAAUGCAAUUAUGAAGGUAACACAUUUUUUUUGGUUAAAUUUAUAAAAUAUGU
rnacentral:lncRNA from 1 species